rnacentral:rRNA from 1 species
UACGUAGGGGGCAAGCGUUGUCCGGAUUUAUUGGGCGUAAAGAGCGUGUAGGCGGCCAGGUAGGUCUGCUGUGAAAACUCGAGGCUCAGCCUCGAGACGCCGGCGGAAACCAUCUGGCUAGAGUCCGGAAGAGGAGAGUGGAAUUCCCGGUGUAGUGGUGGAAUGCGUAGAGAUCGGGAGGAACACCAGUGGCGAAAGCGGCUCUCUGGUCCAAAACUGACGCUGAGGGGCGAAAGCGUGGGGAGCGAACGGG